UACGGGAGGCAGCAGUGGGGAAUAUUGCACAAUGGGCGCAAGCCUGAUGCAGCCAUGCCGCGUGUAUGAAGAAGGCCUUCGGGUUGUAAGUACUUUCAGUCGUGAGGAAGGUGUUAAGGUUAAUAACCUUAGCAAUUGACGUUAGCGACAGAAGAAGCACCGGCUAACUCCGUGCCAGCAGCCGCGGUAAUACGGAGGGUGCGAGCGUUAAUCGGAAUUACUGGGCGUAAAGGGCACGCAGGCGGUUAAUUAAGUUGGAUGUGAAAUCCCCGGGCUUAACCUGGGAAUGGCAUUCAAGACUGGUUAGCUAGAGUCUUGUAGAGGGGGUAGAAUUCCAUGUGUAGCGGUGAAAUGCGUAGAGAUGUGGAGGAAUACCGGUGGCGAAGGCGGCCCCUGGACAAAGACUGACGCUCAUGUGCGAAAGCGUGGGGAGCAAAC
rnacentral:rRNA from 1 species